rnacentral:rRNA from 1 species
GGGUUAGUAGGCUGGUCGUGCCACUGGUAUGCACUGGUCUUACUGAUUCCUCCUUCCUGAUGAACCGUAAUGCCAUUAAUUUGGUGUUGCGGGGAAACUGGACUGUUACUUUGAAAAAAUUAGAGUGUUUAAAGCAGGCGAUCGCUUGAAUACAUUAGCAUGGAAUAAUGAAAUAGGACGAUCGAUCCUAUUUUGUUGGUUUCUAGGAUUGACGUA